UAUUGUCCGAGAAUGUUCAGAGAGGUUUUAUUUGCCUGAAGACAACGCAUCUAAUUUUCAUCACUCCAUCCAUGCAACUGACAAAGUCCUAAUCAAUACACUACUCUAUAUCUUGUGAUCCAUCAGCAAGAAGUCCAACGACAAGUGGAAACUCUGUUGUCCCAGGGAACUAUUAAACGCUCAACCUCGCCAUACAAUGCAUCUCUGUGGAUUGUACCUAAAAAACCUGACGCAGAUGGCAACAGACGUUGGCGAAUAGCUAUUGACUUCCGAGCAUCAAGAGCUUUAAUAAGAUAAAAUUGAUAUCAGCCGUCAAGAUGUUGAGCCUUACUUCAUGCCCAAUGAUGAGCACGUUGCCAACGGCAUCGAGGGGACAAUCCGCAAUCACGCUGAUAAACAUUCACUUCGUCAGCCCUGUCUUGCAAACCCAUUGCAGUGAACGCUGUGUAUCAUAUUAGAAAAAGAUGUAACGGGUCUCUCUCAGGAAAAGGACAAUGCUCUCGCGGCCAAUGAUAAGAACGUGCUCAACGGCUUCGCGAAGCCGAAGUGCUAAGUUUUACACAAAAGUUAAAACAGCGAUAGCUUAGUACGUUCGAGGAGGAGUUAUGCAUAUUUAAGCGAGUACAACGGAUGGUUGCUCAAGCAGUUUUUCAAGUGAAAUUGUUUGUUCAAAUAAAUCUAUACCUAUGUAUUGAUGUCGACGGAAGUCGACCUCUGAAGGACACAACAAGGGCAUGAUUUUUUUAUUUUUUAUUUUUUGUUUCGCAGAAUUUUCGAUGCUCAAUAAAAUUUCUAAUGAAAUCCAUAUGGAAGAAAUAUAUUUGAAACUUUGAGCACAAUCAGUACAAAAAAAUUGUUUAAUCAUGCCAUAGUACAUAUAUCGAGGUCGAUGCAAGCCGAUCUCUGAAUGAUAUACCCAAGAAGGUGAAUUUCCAGACCUCUACUCCAGACCUCAUUUUUAAGGAUGAAGGGUAACUAAAUAAAUUAAUUACUAAUAGACAUUUUUUACUAAUUAUUUUUUUACAGUAUUCAUUGCUGGAAUAAAUUGCUGAACUUCGUUGCUGGAAUGCAAUUCGUAAGACAGUGGCGCAGAGCGUUUAGAAAAUUCCAAAUUGAAGACGAGAAUUCGAUUGAAGAAUAUAUUUGAUCCACAUCGUUACUAUUAUUGCAUAUUUUUUAAUUUUACUUAAUUAACGAUCUUUAUUACAUUUUUUUAUUUUACUUAAUCAUUUCACACAACAUUUCUUUUCUUUUAUUAUUUCUAUAAUAUUCUGCUAAGCCACGUAAAAAGUUUAUUUACUUACUAUGUCUUCGAAUACGUUUUUAAGUUCCUAUUGGUCCUGAUAAUAAUACUUUUCUUCCACUCGGAUUUCAUUCUUAGUUAUUUUAUAGAGCUUUGAAAACUCUGCGAAACAAAAAGUAAAAAAUAAAAAACUUUCAAAAAAA